rnacentral:rRNA from 1 species
GGUACCCCGAAAGUGUUAGAUAGGUUGUGUGCUUCGGGGGCUUAGUGACAGGUGGUGCAUGGUUGUCGUCAGCUCGUGUCGUGAGAUGUUGGGUUAAGUCCCGCAACGAGCGCAACCCUUUUCCUUAUUUGCCAGCGGGUUAAUCCGGGAACUUUAGUGAUACUGCCAGUGACAAACUGGAAGAAGGCGGGGACCACCUCAAGUCAUCGUGGCCCUUACCACCAGGGCUACACACGUGCUACAAUGGUCGGUACAAAGGGUUGCUACCUAGCGAUAGGAUGCUAAUCUCAAAAAGCCGAUCGUAUUCCAGAUUGGAGUCUGCAACUCCACUCCGUGAAGUCAGAAUCGCUAGUAAUCGCAGAUCAAAAUGCCGCGGUGAAUACUUUCCCGGGUCUUGUACACACCGACUCCCGAGAA